AGGCAGCAGUGGGGAAUAUUGCACAAUGGGGGAAACCCUGAUGCAGCGACGCCGCGUGAGUGAAGAAGUUAUUCGUAAUGUAAAGCUCUAUCAGCAGGGAAGAAAGUGACGGUACCUGAGUAAGAAGCACCGGCUAAAUACGUGCC
rnacentral:rRNA from 1 species